GUCUGCUGCAGCUUGUCGUUAUAGUUACUGUCAUCUUACUUUUGUCUAUUGUUCCUUCUCUAUUUUCAGCUAAUCAACCCUGCUGAAACUUUCGGGGACAUUGUUAUAGAUUAUCCUUAUGUGGAAUGUACCUCAGCAGCAAUUCAAGCACUGGCAUCAUUUAAGAACUUAUAUCCAGGAUAUCGGAGAGAAGACAUUGAAACUUGUAUUGCAAAAGCUGUGGGGUUCAUUGAAAAAAUACAAAGACCAGAUGGUUCAUGGUAUGGCUCUUGGGCUGUUUGCUUCACCUAUGGGACAUGGUUCGGGAUAAAGGGGUUGAUAGCUGCU